UGGGGAAUUUUGGACAAUGGGCGCAAGCCUGAUCCAGCCAUGCCGCGUGCGGGAAGAAGGCCUUCGGGUUGUAAACCGCUUUUGUCAGGGAAGAAAUCUUCUGAGUUAAUACCUCGGGAGGAUGACGGUACCUGAAGAAUAAGCACCGGCUAACUACGUGCCAGCAGCCGCGGUAAUACGUAGGGUGCAAGCGUUAAUCGGAAUUACUGGGCGUAAAGCGUGCGCAGGCGGUUUUGUAAGACAGAGGUGAAAUCCCCGGGCUCAACCUGGGAACUGCCUUUGUGACUGCAAGGCUUGAGUGCGGCAGAGGGGGGAUGGAAUUCCGCGUGUAGCAGUGAAAUGCGUAGAUAUGCGGAGGAACACCGAUGGCGAAGGCAAUCCCCUGGGCCUGCACUGACGCUCAUGCACGAAAGCGUGGGGAGCAAACAGGAUUAGAUACCCUGGUAGUCCACGCCCUAAACGAUGUCAACUGGUUGUUGGGAAGGUUCCUUCUCAGUAACGUAGCUAACGCGUGAAGUUGACCGCCUGGGGAGUACGGCCGCAAGGUUGAAACUCAAAUGAAUU
rnacentral:rRNA from 1 species